UACGAAGGGGGCUAGCGUUGUUCGGAAUUACUGGGCGUAAAGCGCACGUAGGCGGAUACUUAAGUCAGGGGUGAAAUCCCAGAGCUCAACUCUGGAACUGCCUUUGAUACUGGGUAUCUCGAGUAUGGAAGAGGUGAGUGGAAUUCCCAGUGUAGAGGUGAAAUUCGUAGAUAUUGGGAAGAACACCAGUGGCGAAGGCGGCUCACUGGCUCGUAUCUGACGCUCAGGCGCGACAGCGUGGGGAUCAAACAGG
rnacentral:rRNA from 1 species